UCCUCUCUUCGUAGGCUAAUGCAUUGGCCCUUUUUGACCCGUUUUGGGGCGAAAACAAAAACUGACUCCCGGGCAUAUUUUUUUCGGCCUUUAUGGGCAGAGAACUUUAAUACCGCUCGAAAUGAGGCCACCCAGUAGUUAGGUGUGAAUUUUCGAGACCUUUGGCACCGUUCUAAGAUGGGUCCUCUCUUCGUAGGCUAAUGCAUUGGCCCUUUUUGACCCGUUUUGGGGCGAAAACAAAAACUGACUCCCGGGCAUAUUUUUUUCGGCCUUUAUGGGCAGAGAACUUUAAUACCGCUCAAAAUGAGGCCACCCAGUAGUUAGGUGUGAAUUUUCGAGACCUUUGGCACCGUUCUAAGAUGGGUCCUCUCUUCGUAGGCUAAUGCAUUGGCCCUUUUUGACCCGUUUUGGGGCGAAAACAAAAACUGACUCCCGGGCAUAUUUUUUUCGGCCUUUAUGGGCAGAGAACUUUAAUGCCGCUCGGAAUGAGGCCACCCAGUAGUUAGGUGUGAAUUUUCGAGACCUUUGGCACCGUUCUAAGAUGGGUCCUCUCUUCGUAGGCUAAUGCAUUGGCCCUUUUUGACCCGUUUUGGGGCGAAAACAAAAACUGACUCCCGGGCAUAUUUUUUUUCGGCCUUUAUGGGCAGAGAACUUUAAUGCCGCUCGGAAUGAGGCCACCCAGUAGUUAGGUGUGAAUUUUCGAGACCUUUGGCACCGUUCUAAGAUGGGUCCUCUCUUCGUAGGCUAAUGCAUUGGCCCUUUUUGACCCGUUUUGGGGCGAAAACAAAAACUGACUCCCGGGCAUAUUUUUUUCGGCCUUUAUGGGCAGAGAACUUUAAUGCCGCUCAGAAUGAGGCCACCCAGUAGUUAGGUGUGAAUUUUCGAGACCUUUGGCACCGUUCUAAGAUGGGUCCUCUCUUCGUAGGCUAAUGCAUUGGCCCUUUUUGACCCGUUUUGGGGCGAAAACAAAAACUGACUCCCGGGCAUAUUUUUUUUCGGCCUUUAUGGGCAGAGAACUUUAAUGCCGCUCAGAAUGAGGCCACCCAGUAGUUAGGUGUGAAUUUUCGAGACCUUUGGCACCGUUCUAAGAUGGGUCCUCUCUUCGUAGGCUAAUGCAUUGGCCCUUUUUGACCCGUUUUGGGGCGAAAACAAAAACUGACUCCCGGGCAUAUUUUUUUCGGCCUUUAUGGGCAGAGAACUUUAAUGCCGCUCGGAAUGAGGCCACCCAGUAGUUAGGUGUGAAUUUUCGAGACCUUUGGCACCGUUCUAAGAUGGGUCCUCUCUUCGUAGGCUAAUGCAUUGGCCCUUUUUGACCCGUUUUGGGGCGAAAACAAAAACUGACUCCCGGGCAUAUUUUUUUCGGCCUUUAUGGGCAGAGAACUUUAAUGCCGCUCGGAAUGAGGCCACCCAGUAGUUAGGUGUGAAUUUUCGAGACCUUUGGCACCGUUCUAAGAUGGGUCCUCUCUUCGUAGGCUAAUGCAUUGGCCCUUUUUUGACCCGUUUUGGGGCGAAAACAAAAACUGACUCCCGGGCAUAUUUUUUUCGGCCUUUAUGGGCAGAGAACUUUAAUGCCGCUCAGAAUGAGGCCACCCAGUAGUUAGGUGUGAAUUUUC
rnacentral:lncRNA from 1 species